AUUGAACGCUGGCGGCAGGCCUAACACAUGCAAGUCGAGCGGCAGCGCGAGUAGUUUACUACUUGGCGGCGAGCGGCGGACGGCUGAGUAACGCGUGGGAACGUGCCCCAAAGUGAGGGAUAACUGCCCGAAAGGGCGGCUAAUACCGCAUAUGAUCUUCGGAUUAAAGGGUUUAUCCGCUUUGGGAGCGGCCCGCGUUAGAUUAGGUAGUUGGUGAGGUAAUGGCUCACCAAGCCGACGAUCUAUAGCUGGUCUGAGAGGAUGAUCAGCCAGACUGGAACUGAGACACGGUCCAGACUCCUACGGGAGGCAGCAGUGAGGAAUCUUCCACAAUGGGCGAAAGCCUGAUGGAGCAACGCCGCGUGAAGGAUGAAGGCCCUAGGGUUGUAAACUUCUUUUAUAAGUGAAGAAUAUGACGGUAACUUAUGAAUAAGCACCGGCUAACUACGUGCCAGCAGCCGCCGUAA
rnacentral:rRNA from 1 species